GGAAGAGGUAAUAUAAUAACAUUUGGGUUGUGAGAAAUUGAUUUCCUACUUGGUAUGUUCUGUUUACUAUUUCUCUUCCUAUUAAUGUCAAUAUCAUCUUGUAUUCGUGAAUUUGUAUUUUGAAAUUGUAUUUCUACAUUUCCAUCGGUAUGUUCUAUUAUAUGAUUGGGAAUAUGAUGUUGAGGAAUUUCUUGUGGUUGAUUGGCAUUUUGUAAUGCCCAUGAUUGAGGUAGAAUUAUAU
rnacentral:lncRNA from 1 species